AACGAACGCUGGCGGCAUGCCUAACACAUGCAAGUCGAACGAGACCUUCGGGUCUAGUGGCGCACGGGUGCGUAACGCGUGGGAACCUGCCCUUAGGUUCGGAAUAACUCCCCGAAAGGGGUGCUAAUACCGGAUAAUGUCUUCGGACCAAAGAUUUAUCGCCUUUGGAUGGGCCCGCGUUGGAUUAGCUAGUUGGUAGGGUAAAAGCCUACCAAGGCGACGAUCCAUAGCUGGUCUGAGAGGAUGAUCGGCCACACUGGGACUGAGACACGGCCCAGACUCCUACGGGAGGCAGCAGUGGGGAAUAUUGGACAAUGGGCGAAAGCCUGAUCCAACAAUGCCGCGUGAGUGAUGAAGGCCUUAGGGUUGUAAAGCUCUUUUACCCGGGAUGAUAAUGACAGUACCGGGAGAAUAAGCUCCGGCUAACUCCGUG
rnacentral:rRNA from 1 species